rnacentral:rRNA from 1 species
UGGGGAAUAUUGCACAAUGGGCGCAAGCCUGAUGCAGCCAUGCCCCGUGUGUGAAGAAGGCCUUCGGGUUGUAAAGCACUUUCAGCGAGGAGGAAGGGUAGUGUGUUAAUAGCACAUUGCAUUGACGUUACUCGCAGAAGAAGCACCGGCUAACUCCGUGCCAGCAGCCGCGGUAAUACGGAGGGUGCAAGCGUUAAUCGGAAUUACUGGGCGUAAAGCGCACGCAGGCGGUUUGUUAAGUCAGAUGUGAAAUCCCCGCGCUUAACGUGGGAACUGCAUUUGAAACUGGCAAGCUAGAGUCUUGUAGAGGGGGGUAGAAUUCCAGGUGUAGCGGUGAAAUGCGUAGAGAUCUGGAGGAAUACCGGUGGCGAAGGCGGCCCCCUGGACAAAGACUGACGCUCAGGUGCGAAAGCGUGGGGAGCAAACA